UCUUCGAGUCGUUGAUUUCACACUGCCGAGAAAAGCCUCUAGAUAGAAAAUAGGUGCCCGUACCGCAAACCGACACAGGUAGUCAAGAUGAGAAUUCUAAGGUGAGCGAGCGAACUCUCGUUAAGGAACUCGGCAAAAUGACCCCGUAACUUCGGGAGAAGGGGUGCUCUUUAGGGUUAACGCCCAGAAGAGCCGCAGUGAAUAGGCCCAAGCGACUGUUUAUCAAAAACACAGGUCUCUGCUAAACCGUAAGGUGAUGUAUAGGGGCUGACGCCUGCCCGGUGCUGGAAGGUUAAGAGGAGUGGUUAGCUUCUGCGAAGCUACGAAUCGAAGCCCCAGUAAACGGCGGCCGUAACUAUAACGGUCCUAAGGUAGCGAAAUUCCUUGUCGGGUAAGUUCCGACCCGCACGAAAGGCGUAACGAUUUGGGCACUGUCUCAACGAGAGACUCGGUGAAAUCAUAGUACCUGUGAAGAUGCAGGUUACCCGCGACAGGACGGAAAGACCCCGUGGAGCUUUACUGUAGCCUGAUAUUGAAAUUCGGCACAGCUUGUACAGGAUAGGUAGGAGCCUUUGAAACGUGAGCGCUAGCUUACGUGGAGGCGCUGGUGGGAUACUACCCUAGCUGUGUUGGCUUUCUAACCCGCACCACUUAUCGUGGUGGGAGACAGUGUCAAGCGGGCAGUUUGACUGGGGCGGUCGCCUCCUAAAAGGUAACGGAGGCGCUCAAAGGUUCCCUCAGAAUGGUUGGAAAUCAUUCAUAGAGUGUAAAGGCAUAAGGGAGCUUGACUGCGAGACCUACAAGUCGAGCAGGGUCGAAAGACGGACUUAGUGAUCCGGUGGUUCCGCAUGGAAGGGCCAUCGCUCAACGGAUAAAAGCUACCCCGGGGAUAACAGGCUUAUCUCCCCCAAGAGUUCACAUCGACGGGGAGGUUUGGCACCUCGAUGUCGGCUCAUCGCAUCCUGGGGCUGUAGUCGGUCCCAAGGGUUGGGCUGUUCGCCCAUUAAAGCGGUACGCGAGCUGGGUUCAGAACGUCGUGAGACAGUUCGGUCCCUAUCCGUCGUGGGCGUAGGAAAUUUGAGAGGAGCUGUCCUUAGUACGAGAGGACCGGGAUGGACAUACCUCUGGUGUACCAGUUGUCGUGCCAACGGCAUAGCUGGGUAGCUAUGUGUGGACGGGAUAAGUGCUGAAAGCAUCUAAGCAUGAAGCCCCCCUCAAGAUGAGAUUUCCCAACUUCGGUUAUAAGAUCCCUCAAAGAUGAUGAGGUUAAUAGGUUCGAGGUGGAAGCAUGGUGACAUGUGGAGCUGACGAAUACUAAUCGAUCGAAGACUUAAUCAAAUU
rnacentral:rRNA from 1 species